rnacentral:rRNA from 1 species
AUGGCGCCCAAGACAGAAGCACAUCAGUGCGGGCGUCGGCUAGUUGAUGCGGUAGAUGGUGAAGAUCUGAUGCUAUGUCGUGUGCAUGCACGCACCUUUGUUUUUUUGCCCCAGAUUGAGAAGAACGGAUCCGUAGCAACUGCCACCGCUCCUCCCUUCCCCUCCGUGCGCUGCCAUCUCAUCCACCCCGAGUCGACCCCGCCUCCGGUCGCGGCCCACUCUCCUGCAAGCUGCGACGACAUCCUCGCCGACACACCGCGCAUUCGCCCCACUUCCCAGCAAACGCCGCCGCCCCUUCCCUUCCGAUCCACCCCGACUAAACCUGUCGCCACCACGCACGCGAGCCACAGCAGGGACGCGCGAGGAGGAGUUGCGGCUUCCUCCGGGCACACACGUGCCGUUGCAGACGGCCUCUCCUGGAGCGUCGGUCGCCGUCGCCGCCUGCCGCUCGGCUUCUACCCCACAGGCGCCACGUCCAGGAACUCCCCUCCGCCGCUGCCGGGUGGGUCAAAAUCACUGCUAUCGCCGUGUCCCGCCCCGUUCCGUUCAUGCUCCGACGCGAUCCUGAUGCCUCUGCACAAAUCCUUUUCUGUACGGAGUAUUGGCCAUCGGAUUUGGACUCUGGGAGCUUUCAAUCGUGGAUGCUUGUUUCCGUUUAGGGAUGCUGGUGCAGUGACCAUAUCUAUGUGCAAGGAAUUUUGCUUCUUGCAGCUGCAGGACCAUGCGAUGUCGAACACGAAAAGGACACACCAAGAUGCUGUGUUGCAUACGACUGAGCAGUCUCGGCUAUACUUCAACCCAGACAUCAACGAAGCAAAUAACUUGAUUAUAUGGUUCAGGGAGCUCCGGCGCUUGCUCCGAGCAAAGAAGUCUUUCUUGAACUAUGCUCUCCUAAACCUGAAUGAACCAGACGUGGGAAGACAACUGAGUUUCGGUUGUGGCGACCUCUUCACCCCGGCCAGGGCCAGCUUUGCUGGCUUGAUCCGAUCCGCCGCCGGCUUAGCUUUGCUUGCUUGGUCCAUCAUGUCGCCGGUUGUUUGCCCCUGGCCAUUAGGCAGACCACCCAGCCCAAGGAGGUAUCGGCAGCCUCGGAUCAAACAAGACCUCCUGCUGCACAGGAUGGAACAAGGCGGCCAGAGCCAGACAGAAGGUUAUUCUUCCACCUCCCGUGCAAGGUUCAGAGCCUUUUGCAUGAUCUUCAUAAGGAGCGGACCGCGACAUGAGCACGCCCGCGACGGGCGACCGCGCGGCGCCGCUGCCGGGCUGAUCUCCUUCCUCCAACCUCCCCUGCCUCCGGCGGCCCCGGAUCUGGAAGCUCCGCCCCGUCCGCUCGCCACCCGUCCCAGCUUUGCUGCUCGUCGUGCCCGAGCAGCCGGUGUGGAAGCUGCAGGAAGCCGCGUCCGCGGCGGCCCCAUGUCCGCGACGGCUGCGCCGUCAUCGUCGGCCGCUUCGGCCCCGUCGCUCACCGCCCCUGCUCUGGCCGCCGCGCUCGCCGCGGCCUUCCUCGCCGGACGCAAGGCUGGCCCGGCCCUGCAGGGGCGCCUCGUCUCUGCGCCGACCAACCAACCUCCGCCGCCCGCCGCCCCGGUCCACCUUGUCGCGGUCCCCGCGCCCCUCCACCAGACCCCACCGGCGACGGCCACACCGCCAGCGCCUCCGACCCCGUGCCCGCGGCCACUGCCUCCGGCCUGUCGGCUCCGGUUGGAGAACGACGGCCGGCAGGUCUCUCGCCCGCGUUCCUCGAAGGUUGCAGCGGCUUUCGCUCCGGCUGCAGCGGCGAGCUCUUUGGCCCAGCCGUCCGUCACCCCCGCCUGCUUUGCCGGUGCCGCCUUCGAGCACCUGCUGAAGCCACCGGCGACAAGCCCCAUCGGUUCCUCACCGCUCGAUCCAGAUCAGGCGGAUCUGAAUCCCGUCUCUCGACCGGCUCCGGCUGUGCUCGGCUCAACGCAUGUCUCCCGUUGCUCCAUCAUCCAUGGCGAGGGGGGAGUGGCGGCUUCUCUGGACGCAGCUUCAACUCCUCUCGCCACUGUUGCGAGCGAAGGGCUCGUCGUUCAGGCGCCUCCGGUGCGUCCGGGCUGGGGAAAUUGGCGAGGAUGUCUCGACCGGGUGGCGGCGUCAACAGUUCCUAUGGCUCCAUGCGAGAAUGCUUUGGGAGGUUGGCAGCUCGUCUCGAGAGGGCGCUGCUCGGCUCAUGCUGCUUUUCGUCGCCUUGCUGUCAAUGUGCGGAGUCCCCCUCCGGCGUGGCUGAGAGACAGGUGUUUUCGGUGCCUCUGUCGAGGUCACCGAGCAUACUCUUGUAGGGAUCCAAUUCGAUGCACGGAUUGUCUUCGAUCCGGCCACAUCGCCCGCUUCUGCCGUGCUGAGAAGCAUGCCCAUGCUUCGCCACUCCAAUUUGGGUUGGCGGAGGAGACCGAGCUGCUUCGCAUCGAGCUUCGUGAUUGCCUAGUGCGAGCCGGGAAUGUUUUGGGGAGGGCGGAGGCCGCUCUCGCCAAACUAGAGGUGGUGCCGGAUGUGUCUUCGCUGCCUGAGCUUCAGAUUGGGGUUGUGCCCGAUGUGUCCUUGCUGCCCGAGAUUCAGAUGCCCAACUUUGUGGACUGUGGAGGUUUGGCUGCUACUAUUGCUCUCUCACCUGAGGUUGUUGACCAGGUGGCGUCUGCAGGUGAUGAGGUAGGUGCUUUGGCACCUAAUUCUGAGGUGACGAAACCCAUCCGGCCGCCCAUCUUUGACCGUGAUGCUAUGAUGGCACGUAUUGACGAGGUAGUAUUUCUGAGAAAGCUUGGCCGCUUGCUCGCCUCCUUGGAGGUAGCUUCUCCUGGGUCUGGCAAGGCGAUUGCUUGCCUCCUAGCGGAGGAGUUGUACUAG